AGCCACGCAGUGAGCACAAAGCGAAUUAUUCUUUCGCCUUUUACUAAAGAAUACCGUGUGCGUUCUGCAAAUAGUGGCAUACGUCUAUUUUUGGAGGGGUUCUCAUUUUUGAGUGCC